ACCAAAAGUGUGGAAAACAAUAAUAAGUACAUAGAACCAUCCCGUCACAGCCCGACAUCCGGGUGUCACUAGUCAUGAGCUACUACAGAGUUCACUAAAGAACUACAAGUUUAAAAAUGGGAACAAAGUCUGAAAAAUAACAUGGACAACAUAAAAUAAGGGAGAAGAUCUGGUGCCGCGGACGCUACCGGUCACCUGGCUCAGCUACGAUAACCACUCUUCACUCCGCUAAUAACCUGCUAUCGGGCGAACAAUACCUGCAACUGCACGCAAGGUGCAGGGAGCAAAGUGAGCACUCCAACUCAAUGAGUAAUAAGAGUAAAUAACAACUGAAAGGCAUGAAAUCACGUAGGAGCACUCCAACAUGCAACAUGUGCAGCACAACCCUUCGAGAAAAUAGUAAGCCCGAGAAAAUCCUUUAGAAAAUAUCUCACUCAGUUUAAAAUCACUUUGAAAAAUAUCUUUUGUCAACAGUUAAGAAAGUAAAUGCAGGACUGGUAGUGCAAGUCAGCACAAAAGUCAGCCUCUCGGGCACAAGCAAGUAUGCAUAAUUAAGCUCACAACUCGCCCUCCAGGCAGUAUUCUUAUCUCUGGUCAUCCACUGUUACCUGACCCAUUUACACCAUACAGUAUCACCGUUACCACUGUCUGAAAUUUAUCCACUUUCAAAAUGAUCAGACAACAUCAGAUGUACAAAUAAAUAUCUCAAGAAAUGACACAAACAACAAAUAGUGCACAAAUGUAUGAAUGCAAUGCAAUGCAUAUGACGGUACACUCUAGUACCGGCUGUGCCGUGCAGCCCGCUCCACUUAAUUAAGAUCGACGGCGCUCACUGUGGUGUGUACAGACUCCCGGAGGGGCCCCUUACGGCCCAAGCAUACCGUCAAGCCAUCUUGUGGCAUCAAUCAAAUCCUGGCCAGUUAUUGUUACCUGGCCAAGUGGAUACCCGCGCUCACUGUGGGGGUGCAGACUCCGAAGGGGCUUCUACAGCCCAAGCGCAAUAUCAGCCAUGUCUUGGCAUCAGACAGUCUCUCGGCCUCAAUAUCAAUAUAACACGACUGCGGCGCGCAGCCGGAGCCAUCCAUAUAUUCAGAAUUCACUAUAGCACUGCUGCGGUGCGCAGCCAGAUCCAUACUCAGUCUAGAAAUGCACAUAAUCCACUUGGGAAAUAUUAACAUGAUAAUCCCCAUCUCAAAAUGUCAAUAAAAUGUUGUUUAGUUUUCAAGUCUUAGAAAAAUGGCUGAGUUUGCAAAACAUUAUUAAAACCUUGGACUGAGAUCAAAUAAUAUGCAAGUAAUGCAAAAUAGUAAUGUCAUUCCACGAAGGGUUCACACAGUUGGCAGGAAGCCCAAGCAUGGCUAUCAGCCCAAAUUAUGAUCAUAACAAAUUCAGUCAAAUACGCAGUAAAAAUCAACAAUCAGGACGGACCAAGCCACAGUACCCAACGGUGCUCUACCCCACGCUCAUAUCCAGCGUGCAAGUCACCUUAAUACAGCACUAUGAUGUGUAAAUCCGGGGUUUCAAACCCUCAGGAUAUCAUUUGCAAGUAUUACUCACCUCGGACCGGUGAAAUCUCUAGCCCACGAAGCCUUUGCCCCUCAAAUCAGCCUCCACGUGCGUCUAAUGUAACCAAAUCAAAGCGAAAUGUUACAAUAGGCUAAGGGAGUAUAACCCAAUUGAAAAGACUCAAAAAAUAUCAAAAAUCGCGAAAUUAGCAAAACCCGAGCCCCGAGCUCACUUCUGGAAAUCCAGAAAAUCUUACACCAAAACAAUCCUUAUCUCACCACGUGUCCAUACAUAUAAAAUUCAUCAAAAUUGGAGUCUAAUUGCUCACUCAAACACCAAAUUCUCAUUCAAAAACCCAAGCCCUAAUUCUUCCCUUUUAAACAAAAUUCCAUGAAUUUAAAUGUUGAAAUCACAAUUAAAUGAUGUUUCUAGGCCAUAAGACUUACCUCCAAUCGAUUCCCAGUCAAAUCCCUCUAAAAUACUCGUCAAAAGCUCUCAAGGUCACUUAAUAAUAAUGAAAAAUGAAACCAAGUUGGGGAUCAAAUAUUCUUAAAACAUUCUUCCCAGGUGCGAAAUAAUAUUCUUCGCAUCACCACCACUGUGAUCGCAUAGCACAAAACUCCAGCAUCCACAAUUAUCUUAUGCGAUCACACUUAAAUCUCCGCAUUCGCAUAAAACAAAACACUACCAGGAACCCCUGGACCAAAUUACACUAUGCGAUCGCAACCACCCGUAUGCGAACGCACUGACCCAUCUUCCGAACCUAUGCGAUCGCACUGCCUUUGCUGCGACCGAAUAGAGCAAAACAGGACCCCUAUCCCAACCUCCUAUGCGAUCGCAAUGCACCCUAUGCGAUCGCAUAAAGCAAAUUUCUCUGAAAUACUUCAGCUGGUUUCUGCAAUUCCCAAAGGCCAAGAUUGGUCCGUUUGACCACACGAAAUCACCCCGAGGUCCCUAAGACCUCAACCAAAAGAACCAUCACUUCCUAAAACCUCAUUCAAACUUGCUUGAAUCAUAAAAACACCAAUGCUAACAUCAAAAUCUUUAUUAUUCAUCAAAUGCAAGCCUAAGUUUAUCACAUUCUUCAAAACUCACAUUCGAUCAAAAACCCGACCUAAACACCUCCGAUUAAACUAAAAUAUUUCACACAUAUCGUAAAUCAUCUAACAAAGUAACUGCAACUCUUGAAAUUCCAUUCCGACCCUCAGAUCAAAAUCUUACCUAUCAACCUGAAUUCGCCAAAAUUCAAACCUAGUCAAUUCAAGCCUAAUUCUACAUCGAGUCCAAAAUUACUUCAAAUUGUACUCCUAAGCCUUAAAUCAUCCCCUGAAACUAACCGAAUCAUCAUAAAUCCAUUCCGAGUGCUCUAACUCACAAGUCAUCAUCCAGUUGACUAUUCCAGACCAAACUUUCCCUAAAGAAACUAAUUGUCUCAUUUCUAACCAAACUCUAUCCGAAUAACUUCAAAUUCACCAAACACAUAUGAUGAAACAUGUACAAGCAUAAAACGGGGAAAUGAGAUUGAAAUACAUGAGACGACAGGUCAGAUCGUCACAAAGAAAUAUGCAUGAGACAAAAAAGAAGAGCAAUGGGCAUGCUAGAUGAUGAUAGGCAUAUCAAUUAACAUAGUGGCAUGCUAAUUGCAGUAAAAACAACAGAACCCUAAGUAAAAGCAUAGAAAAAACAUAAUGAAGUGCAGAAGGUAUAAAAGCAUGUUGUUUUGAGAGCUGUACAUCAAUUGGAGGGCAUACCAGUUGAGGAUGCAGUAAUAUCGAGUAAUAAUGAACAACAAUAUGCAGAGGAGUGAGUGAUAGAGUGCAGAGAAGUGAUCAGCAAUAGUAGUGAAGUGAGCAGCAAUAGCAGAGAAGUGAGCAGAAAGUAAGCAGACCCAAGUAAGUAGCAAUAUAGAGAGCAAUAUAAUAGUAAAGUAGCCUAAAGCUUAGCCUGGGUUUCAAGCCAGUUGAGUAACCAGUAGUCACAAGGGAAGUGAGAGAGGUUAUGUAGAAGCAAGAGAGUAUGUUUUUGUGUAAGAGAGAGAGUUAGGAAUAAUGAAGUAUGUUCGUGUGUUAUGCUAAAUAGAGGGUAUAGUAUUUAUAGCUUUGAAAACCAAUAGAUAAUACGGUAACAAGUACAUAAUUAUGGAAACAAUACCAACUGGAAUCAAUCACAGGACCGAAUUCAUUUUAAUUAGGGAUUCAUGAUUCGAAUGGGAGUACAGAUUAUAUCAGAUAAAGUAUAGAAUCAAUUAGACGACUGAUUACACCAUAGUAAGAGUACUUAGGCAUGUAGUAUGUAAUAAGGGCCAUAUACGCAAUGCUUUAACUAAGGAAAGCAUAUACUGGAUAUUUUAAAAUAUAUUUAAGAGCACAAAUAUGGUAAAUAUGUAAAUUAACUCUGAAAGUUAGUCAAAGAAUCACGGACUAGACUAAAAUAAGAGUGAAUAAGUGGUAAGUAUAGAGAGCAUUUCACAAGUAAGGAAAUAAUUCAAAAAUCAGUGUAAGAACUUCUAAGGAAAACACAUACAAAUCAGGGAAUCGAAGAUAUGCACAAAAAUCAGUAGAAUAACAGUUAGACCUAUAAAACACAAUAGGCGUAUGAAUCAGAGAACCCUAAGCAGGAAAAUCACAGGUUCAGUAGAAGACUGGAACCCUAGUAAUACUUAAAGUUAGGAACUCGGAUUAACCAGAAAACAAACAAGCUCAUAACACAAAAAUAAACACAUAAUACAGGCACAAUCACAUAAUACUCAAAAAGAAGCAGAAGAUAUUGUGAUUUUGAGAGGGGGCUCAGGAACCCUAGUUUUGAAAAGAAGAAUGGAAUGUUGAAAAACUUGAAUUAAUCGAGGAAAUCGACUUGUGAGUAGUGUAAAUCAAAAUGAAUAAGCUGAAAAUCACUAAAAAGAUAGAGAUUAAGAGAUUUAGGCAAAAAGUUAGGGCUUUGCAAUAAAUCAUUGAGGUAAGGAACCUGGCUGUGAAACUCGUUAAUAAUGGCGUACAUAGUACCAUCGGAC
rnacentral:lncRNA from 1 species